AAAAAGAAAAUUGGACCAACCAACAUAUCAUCAGGAAAGACCAGACAAGCAACUUUAGACAUCAUACAGGCAGGUUGAACAGAUAAGAGAGCAAACGAUUAUUCCUGGAUGCCUAGGAGUUGGGAUGACAAUGACAUCGCAACCGGCUAGGUAAAUCCUGCAGGCUACCACAACAAGAACAUAAAAGGCUGUAACGGCAUGAAACGCUACUGUUGGAACUUGUAAUCUUGACCCAAGGUGUAGUUACUUGAGUAGUCGAGCAGCUAGCUUAUUAGUUGGGUGGUUGAGUUAAUGGUGUACAGUUGGACAGUAGGCCACUGCAUUAGAGGGGCACUUUGCCUUAAUCAACCAUGUAAUCGGUUUGUAUGCUAAAGAAACAAGGAAAGCUCUAGCCUGCAGGUUGCAGCUGAGAAUCAAAUCUUGUGCCUGUGCUUGUUCUAGAGUGUGAAACAAAGAGUGCACACCAUGUGUGGGUUCUCUACUGGAGAGGUUGAGUGAAACAGAGGAGAUGCAACUCUGUUAUACUCCCUCCGUCCCUGAAUUCUUGUCGUGUAACUAAAACCACCACAAGAAUUUAGUAACGGAGUGAGUACUUAUAACUAGGAACUAAAGAGGCCGCAGUUACAGUAGGGCUGCGCUGACUUACCCCGAGUGGCCGCCCCCGGCGCCGGUGCCUCCCGUCGAUCCGCCGCGUGCAGGUCCCAUAACAGCACCGCGGCCCAUGCACGCGUGAGCCCCCACCGCCUUCCUCCUCCUCUUCUCCGGUCGCCGGCGAUGCCUCCUCGCUCACUCCUCUGCUCUCUCUUUCUCUGAAUUUCUCUAAUCGCAGAUGGCGCUGCAAGGGUGGGAGAUAGCGCCGGCGGAAACGAAACAAUGGCGGCCUGGAUUGGAACAGAGAGGGUUCGUGGGAUUUGAUUGAGGAGAAGAAGAACGAAAUUGCACUGAGGUCAGUUCAGGAGGCCAGCCUAGUGAAUUCGGCCGUAUGGCCCGUAUAAAAAGCCCAAACAGGCCCAACUGUCGUUGCCUCUCUUUUCAAUAAUGGAAAUGAACAUUUUAA